rnacentral:rRNA from 1 species
UACGUAGGGUGCGAGCGUUAAUCGGAAUUACUGGGCGUAAAGCGUGCGCAGGCGGUUCGUUAAGACAGAUGUGAAAUCCCCGGGCUUAACCUGGGAACUGCGUCCGAUACUGGGAAGCUUGAAUCCGGGAGAGGGAUGUGGAAUUCCAGGUGUAGCGGUGAAAUGCGCAGAUAUCAGGAGGAACACCGGUGGCGAAGGCGGGUCUCUGGGCCGAUACUGACGCUGAGGAGCGAAAGCGUGGGGAGCGAACAGG